rnacentral:rRNA from 1 species
AUUGAACGCUGGCGGCAUGCCUUACACAUGCAAGUCGAACGGCAGCACGGGUGCUUGCACCUGGUGGCGAGUGGCGAACGGGUGAGUAAUACAUCGGAACGUACCUUAUCGUGGGGGAUAACGCAGCGAAAGUUGCGCUAAUACCGCAUAAGCCCUGAGGGGGAAAGCGGGGGACCGUAAGGCCUCGCGCGAUUAGAGCGGCCGAUGUCUGAUUAGCUUGUUGGUGAGGUAAAAGCUCACCAAGGCGAUGAUCAGUAGCUGGUCUGAGAGGACGAUCAGCCACACUGGGACUGAGACACGGCCCAGACUCCUACGGGAGGCAGCAGUGGGGAAUGUUGGACAAUGGGGGCAACCCUGAUCCAGCAAUGCCGCGUGAGUGAAGAAGGCCUUCGGGUUGUAAAGCUCUUUUGUCAGGGAAGAAACAGCAGCUCUAACACAGUCUGCGAAUGACGGUACCUGAAGAAUAAGCACCGGCUAACUACGUGCCAGCCGCCGCGGUAA